rnacentral:rRNA from 1 species
GGACGAACGCUGGCGGCGUGCUUAACACAUGCAAGUCGAACGAAGAGCGACGGAAGCUUGCUUCUAUCAAUCUUAGUGGCGAACGGGUGAGUAACGCGUAAUCAACCUGCCCUUCAGAGGGGGACAACAGUUGGAAACGACUGCUAAUACCGCAUACGAUCUAAUCUCGGCAUCGAGGAUGGAUGAAAGGUGGCCUCUACAUGUAAGCUAUCACUGAAGGAGGGGAUUGCGUCUGAUUAGCUAGUUGGAGGGGUAACGGCCCACCAAGGCGAUGAUCAGUAGCCGGUCUGAGAGGAUGAACGGCCACAUUGGGACUGAGACACGGCCCAGACUCCUACGGGAGGCAGCAGUGGGGAAUCUUCCGCAAUGGACGAAAGUCUGACGGAGCAACGCCGCGAGAGUGAUGACGGCCUUCGGGUUGUAAAGCUCUGUUAAUCGGGACGAAAGGCCUUCUUGCGAAUAGUGAGAAGGAUUGACGGUACCGGAAUAGAAAGCCACGGCUAACUACGUG